AAUUAUGUUGUUAUUCUUGCAGAAACGUCCUCUGGCUUCCGACUUGACCAGUCCUGUGACAAGCAAGAAAAGGAUAAUUGGUCACCAGCCCAGUCAUGUCCAGGCAGCAGCUGGUGGCCACUUUUCUUACUUCUUUCUGCCUUCCACAUCCCUUUGCUUUUUGGACAUGCUUCCAAGUGUUGGCUCCAUUUCCCCCUGCACUCAUGUGGUGCAAAAACCAGAGAAAUUUCAGAGUUCUGUCAUCCCAGUGCCUGCCAGGGUGCAGAGGAGAUCCCCAAUUCAAACAGGAAGAAAAAGGAAUUGGGAAGACUGAAGCAGUUGCAUCCCUUGGAUUUCGAUGAAGGAAAAAGAACAGAUACUUCCAUUGCCUCCACAUGCUCUGCAACAAGCAACCAAGCAGACUGCUUGAGAAUCAUGGUCUCCUUGGAGGAAUGCCAGUGCUACAAGGACGACUUCAAUGCAAUUAUGAGGGAUAUUGGAAUUUAUAUUUUAAGAUUGACAGGACCAUGAAGAAGUUCAGACAAUUUCAGGAGCAAGUCUCUGACUCCAGGCUCCAAAGCCUAUCAGAUGCUGCGUCAUUGAUUCCCAGCAGAUUAUCAGCAGUUACAACAGGGUAGCCCCAGCUACUCUGAAAUGAGGAGCAGGUGCCAGUAGCUCCACAAGAAGCUGGCCCAUAUUCAGAGCCACAUUUCUGAAUUUGACCAGCAGUGAGUGGAGUACUGGCACCAGACAUCUGCUUCAGCAAGAGAACAUCUGUGAACUCAGGAUUUUUCAUUUCAACUGGAAGAUUAGUUUUUUUAGGAUUUCUUAAGUUAGCAUUGAACAGUAGGUUAUGUUAGCACUUUGAAGUAGAUUAUUUCUUAAAAAACAUAGGAUUAGUUCAAAGAAGUUUAGUAAGUUUAAGAAAUUGAAAGAUGAUAGUAUUGAAAUUUAACAAUAAAGAAAUCUCACUGUUGGUAAUUCCUUCUCUCGUUGUUUUAUCAUAAUUGGAUUGGGUUUCUUCUGGUUGUUAGCGUUCAGGAACACAUAAUCAUGGAAUGAUUAUAUGCAGGUGCUUUUAUUGAAAAGCUCUGG